AGCUCACUAGUCGAGUGACACUGCGCCGAAGAUGUACCGGGGCUAAACACAAUACCGAAGCUGCGGACUUGCAUGUAAGUGCAAGUGGUAGGGGAGCGUUCUAAGUGCUGAGAAGGUAGACCGUAAGGACUGCUGGAGCGCUUAGAAGUGAGAAUGCCGGUGUGAGUAACGAAAAUUGGGUGAGAAUCCCAUUCACCGUUUGACUAAGGGUUCCUGGGUAAAGUUCGUCUUCCCAGGGUAAGUCAGGACCUAAGAUGAGGCUGAAAAGCGUAGUCGAUGGACAACAGGUUGAUAUUCCUGUACCACCUAUAUGACUGAAGGAGUGACGGAGAAAGCUAGUGAGAGCCAGUUAAUGGAUUCUGGUCUAAGUGCGUAGGCUAGUAUGUUGGCAAAUCCGCAAUACUAUAACAGCUGAAACAUGAUGGGGAAGAGAGUCUUCGGACAAUCGAACUUUCAUGAUGCUAUGCUUCCAAGAAAAGCUUCUAGGGUUAAUCGUAUAGGUGCCUGUACCGACAACCGACACAGGUGGUCAAGGAGAGUAUCCUAAGGUGAGCGAGAGAACUAUGGUUAAGGAACUCGGCAAAAUGACCCCGUAACUUCGGGAGAAGGGGUGGUCUAGCGAUAGACCCGCAGUGAAUAGGCCCAGGCAACUGUUUACCAAAAACACAGGUCUCUGCUAACACGUAAGUGGAUGUAUAGGGGCUGACGCCUGCCCAGUGCUGGAAGGUUAAAGAGAUUAGUUAGUAUGACGUAAGUCGAUAAUACGAAGCUUUGAACUGAAGCCCCAGUGAACGGCGGCCGUAACUAUAACGGUCCUAAGGUAGCGAAAUUCCUUGUCAGGUAAGUUCUGACCCGCACGAAAGGCGUAAUGAUCUGGGUACUGUCUCAACCAUAGACUCGGUGAAAUCUUAAUACCUGUGAAAAUGCAGGUUACCCGCGACUGGACGGAAAGACCCCGUGGAGCUUUACUGUAGCUUGAUAUUGGAAUUCGGUAAACUAUGUAGAGCAUAGGUGGGAGACUAUGAGAUUAAGGCGCCAGCCUUAAAGGAGUCACCAUUGGAAUACCACCCUUAGUUUAUUGGAUUUCUAACCUAGGACCAUAAUCUGGUUCAGGGACAGUGUCUGGUGGGCAGUUUGACUGGGGCGGUCGCCUCCUAAAGAGUAACGGAGGCGUUCAAAGGUUCCCUCAGAAUGGUUGGAAAUCAUUCAAAGAGCAUAAAGGUAUAAAGGGAGCUUGACUGCAAGACCUACAAGUCAAGCAGGUGCGAAAGCAGGACUUAGUGAUCAGGCGAUUCAGAAUGGAAUGGUCGUCGCUUAACGGAUAAAAGUUACCCCGGGGAUAACAGGCUGAUACCACCCAAUAGUUCACAUAGACGGUGGUGUUUGGCACCUCGAUGUCGGCUCGUCAUAUCCUGGAGGUGGAGUCGCUUCCAAGGGUUGGGCUGUUCGCCCAUUAAAAUGGCACGCGAGCUGGGUUCAGAACGUCGUGAGACAGUUCGGUCCCUAUCCGUCGUGGGCGCAGGAAAAUUGAGGAGAGCUAUCCUUAGUACGAGAGGACCGGGAUGGACCUACCUCUGGUGUAUCUGUUGUCACGCCAGUGGCAGUGCAGAGUAGCUAUGUAGGGAAGGGAUAAACGCUGAAAGCAUCUAAGCGUGAAGCCCUCUCCAAGAUGAGUUUUCCCAUUGU
rnacentral:rRNA from 1 species